rnacentral:rRNA from 1 species
GAUGAACGCUGGCGGCGUGCCUAAUACAUGCAAGUCGAGCGAACGGACGAGAAGCUUGCUUCUCUGAUGUUAGCGGCGGACGGGUGAGUCACACGUGGAUAACCUACCUCUAAGACUGGGAUAACUUCGGGAAACCGGAGCUAAUACCGGAUAAUAUUUUGAACCGCAUGGUUCAAAAGUAAAAGUCGCUCUUGCUGUCACUUAUAGAUGCAUCCGGGCUGCAUUAGCUAGUUGGUAAGGUAACGGCUUACCAAGGCAACGAUGCAUAGCCGACCUGAGAGAGUGGUCGGCCACACGGGAACUGAGACACGGCCCAGACUCCUACGGUAGGCAGCAGUAGGGAAUCUUACGCAAUGGUGGAAAGCCUGACGGAGCAACGCGGCGUGAGUGAUGAAGGUGUUCGGAUGGGAAAACUCUGUUAUUAGGGGAGAACAUAUGUGUAAGUAACUGUGCUCAUCUUGACGGUACCUGAUCAGAAAGCCACGGCUAACUACGUG